CCGGUGUACAACCCGGAGGUGGUGUUGGCCUACCGAGGCAAAAAGCGCCAGGAGGCCCCUCCACACAUCUUCUCCAUCUCUGACAAUGCCUAUCAGUUCAUGCUGACUGACCGUGAGAAUCAGUCAAUCCUGAUCACUGGAGAAUCUGGUGCAGGGAAGACUGUGAACACAAAGCGUGUCAUCCAGUACUUUGCAACAAU